UUUAGUGGGGAAUAACUGUUGGAAACGACAGCUAAUACCGCAUAAUAUUGCUGGAUAAUUUCCAGUAAUGAAAGGAGCUUUCAAGCUCCGCUGAUUGAUGAGGAUGCGGCGCAUUAGCUAGUUGGUAGGGUAAUGGCCUACCAAGGCAAUGAUGCGUAGCCGAUCUGAGAGGAUGAACGGCCACAUUGGGACUGAGACACGGCCCAAACUUCUACGGAAGGCAGCAGUAGGGAAUUUUUCACAAUGGGCGAAAGCCUGAUGGAGCAAUGCCGCGUGACUGAUGAAGGUCUUCGGAUUGUAAAGGUCUGUUGUAAGGGAAGAAAUGGUAAAACAGGAAAUGGUUUUAUCUAUGACGGUACCUUACCAGAAAGCCACGGCUAACUAUGUGCCAGCAGCCGCGGUAAUACAUAGGUGGCAAGCGUUAUCCGGAUUUAUUGGGCGUAAAGGGUGCGUAGACGGUUUUGCAAGUCUGANGUUAAAUUUAGGAGCUCAACUCCUAAUCGCCUUGGAAACUACAAGACUAGAGUAUAGGAGAGGNUAGUGGAAUUCCAUGUGUAGCGGUGGAAUGUGUAGAUAUAUGGAGGAACACCAGUGGCGA
rnacentral:rRNA from 1 species